AGACUACUCCCUCCGUCCGGAAAUACUUGUCGAAGAAAUGGAUAAAAAUGAAUGUAUCUAGAACUAAGAUAUGUCUAGAUACAUCCAUUCCUCCGACAAGUAUUUCCGGACGAAGGGAGUAAUAU
rnacentral:pre_miRNA from 1 species